rnacentral:rRNA from 1 species
UCAUCUCCGGGGGUAGAGCACUGUUUCGGCAAGGGGGUCAUCCCGACUUACCAACCCGAUGCAAACUGCGAAUACCGGAGAAUGUUAUCACGGGAGACACACGGCGGGUGCUAACGUCCGUCGUGAAGAGGGAAACAACCCAGACCGCCAGCUAAGGUCCCAAAGUCAUGGUUAAGUGGGAAACGAUGUGGGAAGGCCCAGACAGCCAGGAUGUUGGCUUAGAAGCAGCCAUCAUUUAAAGAAAGCGUAAUAGCUCACUGGUCGAGUCGGCCUGCGCGGAAGAUGUAACGGGGCUAAACCAUGCACCGAAGCUGCGGCAGCGACGCUUAUGCGUUGUUGGGUAGGGGAGCGUUCUGUAAGCCUGUGAAGGUGUACUGUGAGGUAUGCUGGAGGUAUCAGAAGUGCGAAUGCUGACAUAAGUAACGAUAAAGCGGGUGAAAAGCCCGCUCGCCGGAAGACCAAGGGUUCCUGUCCAACGUUAAUCGGGGCAGGGUGAGUCGACCCCUAAGGCGAGGCCGAAAGGCGUAGUCGAUGGGAAACAGGUUAAUAUUCCUGUACUUGGUGUUACUGCGAAGGGGGGACGGAGAAGGCUAUGUUGGCCGGGCGACGGUUGUCCCGGUUUAAGCGUGUAGGCUGGUUUUCCAGGCAAAUCCGGAAAAUCAAGGCUGAGGCGUGAUGACGAGGCACUACGGUGCUGAAGCAACAAAUGCCCUGCUUCCAGGAAAAGCCUCUAAGCAUCAGGUAACAUCAAAUCGUACCCCAAACCGACACAGGUGGUCAGGUAGAGAAUACCAAGGCGCUUGAGAGAACUCGGGUGAAGGAACUAGGCAAAAUGGUGCCGUAACUUCGGGAGAAGGCACGCUGAUAUGUAGGUGAAGCGACUUGCUCGUGGAGCUGAAAUCAGUCGAAGAUACCAGCUGGCUGCAACUGUUUAUUAAAAACACAGCACUGUGCAAACACGAAAGUGGACGUAUACGGUGUGACGCCUGCCCGGUGCCGGAAGGUUAAUUGAUGGGGUUAGCGCAAGCGAAGCUCUUGAUCGAAGCCCCGGUAAACGGCGGCCGUAACUAUAACGGUCCUAAGGUAGCGAAAUUCCUUGUCGGGUAAGUUCCGACCUGCACGAAUGGCGUAAUGAUGGCCAGGCUGUCUCCACCCGAGACUCAGUGAAAUUGAACUCGCUGUGAAGAUGCAGUGUACCCGCGGCAAGACGGAAAGACCCCGUGAACCUUUACUAUAGCUUGACACUGAACAUUGAGCCUUGAUGUGUAGGAUAGGUGGGAGGCUU